ensembl:lncRNA
UGUAUGGUUGCCCUCCUAACUCUCCCUCUGUAAUGUUACAGGACAGAAGACUGUAUGGUUGCCCUCCUAGCUCUCCCUCUGUAAUGUUACAGGACAUAAGACUCUGUAUGGUUGCCCUCCUAGCUCUCCCUCUAAUGUUACAGGACAGAAACAUGCUGCUGGCUUUAUCUCCUUUGUUUUGACUUUUUAUUGAAGCUUUUAUUUAUUUAAGCAGGGAGUCGUGCUGAGACCACUGCCUCUUUCACAGAUGAGCCCUGCAUGAACACAUCAAUACACAAAACGUUGUUAGCGUUGAAAAUAGAUUGACAGCUUCGAGGACAUGUAACAUGUCUGUCCUGUGUGCAGGAAUCACCAGCUAGCUGGGCAGCAGACAGUUGAUAUUGGACAAUGUACAGUAAGAGGAGCAUGGAUAUGCCUGGCUAUUCUCCUCUCAGCCAGCUGGCAUCCUAGUUAUUCACCCUUGGUGGGUUUCAUUGAAAUAGUCUGUGUAUUCUCUCUCUCAAUUCAAUUUGCUUUAUUGGGAUGAUGUAACGUUUUGCCCAAGUGUACUUUGGAGAUGAAGUGAUACAUUUACGAUAUUAACAGAAUUUAAAUAAUCAUUAUUGUCAACGGGAUAAAGGGUAGCAACAAUAAUUUAAGGGUAAAAAUAAUCCUACAAUGGCAAAGAGGACAUGUGCAGGUUUGUUGACACUGUCCCUCAUCUUCUGGCAGGCAGCAAUGUAGUGCUCUGCCAACCCACAGCUCUCUGUGUCCUCCCCCAACAGGACAGGUAGCCUAUCCUCAUCAGAGAGGUCUUCAAUGUAGUGCACUGCCAACCCACAGCUCUCUGUGUCCUCAUCAGAGAGGUCUUCAAUGUAGUGCACUGCCAACCCACAGCUCUCUGUGUCCUCCCCCAACAGGACAGGUAGCCUAUCCUCAUCAGAGAGGUCUUCAAUGUAGUGCGCUGCCAACCCACAGCUCUCUGUGUCCUCCCCCAACAGGACAGGUAGCCUAUCCUCAUCAGAGAGGUCUUCAAUGUAGUGCGCUGCCAACCCACAGCUUUCUGUGUCCUCCCCCAACAGGACAGGUAGCCUAUCCUCAUCAGAGAGGUCUUCAAUGUAGUGCUCUGCCAACCCACAGCUCUCUGUGUCCUCCCCCAACAGGACAGGUAGCCUAUCCUCAUCAGAGAGGUCUUUGAAACCUUCAAUAAGUGUUUCAAAUUUGGGGAAAUGACACUCUCUAAUUAUUUUAUAUUGUUAACAUUUUGUCAGGAAAUGCAGCUCUGUCUCAGGUUCU